UCGGUGGUGGCCGAGGGCGCGCCCGAAAACAUCGUCUCCGAGGCGAUGAUCGAGCAGGUCUUUGGCCUUGCCGCGCUGGUUCAGGCCGAUCCGCUGACC
rnacentral:tRNA from 1 species